UUAAUGGCAUACAUGUCCAGUCGUCCUGCUCGUCUUCCCCUCCUCGGCGUCCUCCCUAACGGGCGGCCGCCGAAUUCGAAUUCACACUCACUGUCCAGACUUCAUUCAAAUCUUCACCGCGUCGACUCCUCCCAUCCCCUCCCUCCACCCCAAUCCGACGCUCUCUCUCUCUCUCUCUCUCUCUCUCUCUCUCUCUCUCUCUCUCUCUCUCUCUCUCUCUCUCUCUCUCUCUCCUGCCGAACCCCAUGGCGUCCCGAGAAGGUGACACGUGGUCGGAGAUCGUGGCCAGCGGCGGGCUCCGGCCGCCCCACAUCGCCGUCGUGUACGGGCGUCGCCAGGUCGAGCAGUCGUCCCACCGGAGGAACAUGGAUGUGACGGGUAGCUUCGGCGGCCAGCAAAGGCCGAGCUUCGUGCCGAGGAAGAGGACCAGCUGGGACCGGUCGCUUUCCAUCAGAGGAAGAGAAAGUAUAUAUGUUGCUCCUGGUGCAAAUCUUCAACAUCAACAGAAACCCUGCAGAGCACCAAAACGACCACCCAAACCGUGCAACCGAGUGAAGAAAACUCCAAGUGGCCCUCCGGACUUGAGGAAGGAGAAGGCAUAUUUUGAAGAAGUUGAUGCAUUUGAGCUCAUGGAAGAAAGUCCUUCUCCCAAGGCCUCAUGGACCAGAGUAAUGGAGCAGAAUCACAUUGAUCAUGAUCUGCCUGCAAUAUUGGAGAGGUGGAAAAUUUCCAAGAUUGCAAGUCAUGUAUCUAUCGAGCAAUUGUUAGAUGUCAUGGAGACGCCGAUCAUACCAUCAGUCCUUAGUAACAAUAGUACAUCUAGUAGUUUAUUUAGAACCCCUGAAAAAGAUACAGGGUCAGGGACACACACCAGAGGAAGGGCAAUCCCUCUAGAAUACACUGAUAUCAGUUUAAAGAGUAUUCCAGAAGAAACCAACAUCGUUUCAUCAUUUGGUAAGAUGAACAUUAAGGAGAAGACUGCUGAAGCCAGCAUUCCAUGGAGUGGUGAAGCUCUGACUGCUUUUGAGCAGCUCCUCAUGGUUUGCAGGCAGUCUGAACCAGUUACACUGGCAGAAGUGUUCUCUGCUUAUUGCGAGAUAGGAAGCGUCAAGAAGUUAGGUGAAGGAACAUACGGGGAGGCCUACAGGGCUGGAAGGACUGUUUGCAAAGUGGUUCCUUUUGACGGUGACUUAAUAGUCAAUGGAGAAACCCAGAAGAGGUCAGAAGAAAUACUUGAGGAAGUGUUGCUUUCUCUAACACUUAAUAAUCUAAGAUCGAACCGGGGUGAUGAUGAGAAACAGGAUUUGUGCAAUGGCUUCAUUGAAACAAAAGACUUUCGGGUUUGUCGUGGACCAUACGACCCUUGUCUGAUUAGUGCUUGGGAAGACUAUGAUGCCAAACGUGGAUCAGAAAAUGAUCAUCCAAAGGAUUUUACAAGUGAGCAGUGCUACAUAGUAUUUGUGCUAGCUGAUGGUGGCACUGAUCUAGAAAGCUUUGCUCUGGUUGAUUACAAUGAGGCUCGCAGUUUACUGGUUCAGGUAACUGCUUCGUUAGCAGUAGCUGAAAGUGCUUGUGAAUUUGAACAUCGAGAUUUGCACUGGGGUAACAUUCUUUUGGCUCAAGAUGAAACUCCAGACACAAAUCAUACAAUGACCUUUGCUCUUCAAGGGAAGAGGAUUAAUGCAAGAACUUUUGGUCUGAAUGUCUCCAUAAUUGACUUCACUCUUUCUCGGAUCAAUACAGUUGAAUCGGCGAAGGGAGUUGGGGAGCACUCAGAUAAUAUGGGACUGCCAUUCUCUUUCUAGACCUGUCUGCGGAUCCUGCAUUAUUUCAAGGGAAAAAAGGAGAUAAGCAGGCAGAAACGUAUCGAAGGAUGAAAGAAAUUACCCAGGAACACUGGGAGGGCAGCUUCCCAAAGACCAACGUGGUGUGGUUAAUUUACCUUGUAGAUAUGGUGCUGCAUAAGAUGAAAUCCCUUGCGCUUGGUGCCAAAGUGGACCGGGAGCUUCGCUCUUUCAAGAAACGCCUGGCAUCGUGCGAGUCCGCUAGAGAUUGUCUCGCCGAUCCCUUCUUCAGUGAUCUACUAUUGGAGGAGGACGCACAGCUCUUUCCAAUGCAGUAGCUGGAGUCGGAUCUGUGAACUGGCAGAUAGAAUAGCUGUGGGGUUAGGUUUUAAAUUUAUAACCUUGUGCAACCACUAAUCACCCGACGUGCGUCGGUGCGUGUGAUCCAGAAGAACGCAGGUUCGUCAGCCCUGGGCAUGCAAGAGAGCUUGCUUGGCUGUUGCCCCGGCGCCUUUUGUAACUUGAGUGUAUGUAAUUUAUCACGUUGGUGGUCCUCGUGGCCAGAUUCGGGUCUUUCUGGAGCAUGUUCAUUCAUUAACAAGCAA